GAACCUUCCUUCGAGCGGGGAAUAGCCCAGAGUAAAUUUGGAUUAACUACCCAUAGUAUAUUAGAGUGGCAUCACUUUGAUAUUAAAGAUUUAUCACUUGAAGAUGGCUGUGCGGCUGAUUAGGUAGUUGGCGGGGUAACGGCCCACCAAGCCUUCGAUCAGUAACUGGUGUGAGAGCACGACCAGUCACACGGGCACUGAAACACGGGCCCGACUCCUACGGGAGGCAGCAGUAAGGAAUAUUGGUCAAUGGACGAAAGUCUGAACCAGCCAUGCCGCGUGGAGGAUGAAGGUCCUCUGGAUUGUAAACUUCUUUUAUAUGGGACGAAAAAAGGGUUUUCUAACUCGUCUGACGGUACCAUAUGAAUAAGCACCGGCUAACUCCGUG
rnacentral:rRNA from 1 species